GCCGAUGUAGCUCAGUUGGUAGAGCAGCUGAUUUGUAAUCAGCAGGUCGUCAGUUCGAAUCUGACCGUCGGCUCCA
rnacentral:tRNA from 1 species